CUACGGGCUACUCCAGUGAGGAAUAUUGCACAAUGGGGGGAACCCUGAUGCAGCAACGCCGCGUGGAGGAUGACGCAUUUCGGUGUGUAAACUCCUUUUAUAUGUCAAGAAAAUGACGGUAGCAUAUGAAUAAGCACCGGCUAACUCCGUGCCAGCAGCCGCGGUAAUACGGAGGGUGCAAGCGUUACUCGGAAUCACUGGGCGUAAAGGACGCGUAGGCGGGUUGGAAAGUCAGGUGUGAAAUCCUACAGCUUAACUGUAGAACUGCACUUGAAACUUCUAAGCUAGAGUAUGGGAGGGGGAGAUGGAAUUAGUGGUGUAGGGGUAAAAUCCGUAGAUAUCACUAGGAAUACCUAAAGCGAAGGCGAUCUCCUGGAACAUUACUGACGCUAAGGCGUGAAAGCGUGGGGAGCAAACAGGAUUAGAUACCCCGGUAGUC
rnacentral:rRNA from 1 species